rnacentral:lncRNA from 1 species
AGGAAAGAGAGUGUGAAAAUAUAAGAGGAAAAAUAGUGUAAGAAGAAAGAGAGUCUAAGAAUGUGUAAGAAGAAAGAGAGUGUAAGAUUGUGUAAGAAGAAAAAGAGUGUAAGAAAGAGUAUUUAAAAAUCCAAAGUAAGAAUUAUAGAGUAAUCUACACAUGUUAAAUCAUGUGUAUAUUACUAAUUUUGACACCAGUUAUGUAUGUAUAUUCAGCAAAUUCUCUCUAAAAUAUUUAAAUAUUUAACCUAAACAAAUAAUCAUAAUUUUAUAUGCUUUACUUCAAAAUGAAUAGAAGAAACACAAUUGGAAAU